GCCAAGGCCUGACCAGGGGGCGGGGUAAAGCGUGGUGUGGGAGCGGUGUCCGGAAGUAUUGGGCGUAAAGGGCUCGUAGGCGGUCUGUCGCGUCGGGAGUGAAAACACGGGGCUGAACCCCGUGCCUGCGUCCGAUACGGGCUGACUAGAGGUAUGCAGGGGAGAACGGAAUUCCUGGUGUAGCGGUGAAAUGCGCAGAUAUCAGGAGGAACACCGGUGGCGAAGGCGGUUCUCUGGGCAUUACCUGACGCUGAGGAGCGAAAGUGUGGGGAGCGAACAGGAUUAGAUACCCGAGUAGUC
rnacentral:rRNA from 1 species